CUGCAUCAUCAAAUACAAAAACAAGUCAGUUUUAUUGUUUAAAUACAAUCAGUCAAUCAACCCGAGGUUCAGAAAAUGGUUCACAUCAUUCACCAUAACGGGCUAUGGCAUUACUCUCGAAUAUGGGUCCGUUGGGCGUUUCUAAAACAGCAACCUUCCCAAUAGGGUUCAUCUUGAUAAACUCCGGAGUCUUGUUUGAGACUCCCAUCUCAAAGUCUGGGACCACUUUCACUUCGACUCCAUUGUAUUCUGCAGCAAUGAGAGCCUUGAAAGAAUUUUUAUUCGUCUUUCCUGCGUGUAAGACC